AGAGUUUGAUCCUGGCUCAGGAUGAACGCUAGCGGCAGGCCUAACACAUGCAAGUCGAGGGGUAACAGAAAAGCUUGCUUUUGCUGACGACCGGCGCACGGGUGCGUAACGCGUAUGCAACCUACCUCAUACUGGAGGAUAGCCCCUGGAAACGGGGAUUAAUACUCCAUAGUAUCACAAUUUCGCAUGUUAUUGUGAUUAAAGUUUUUCGGUAUGAGAUGGGCAUGCGUCCCAUUAGCUUGUUGGUGAGGUAACGGCUCACCAAGGCAACGAUGGGUAGGGGGCCUGAGAGGGUGGUCCCCCACACUGGUACUGAGACACGGACCAGACUCCUACGGGAGGCAGCAGUGAGGAAUAUUGGUCAAUGGAGGAAACUCUGAACCAGCCAUGCCGCGUGAAGGAUGACGGCCCUAUGGGUUGUAAACUUCUUUUAUAGAGGAAGAAACUUGUCUACGUGUAGACAACUGACGGUACUCUACGAAUAAGGAUCGGCUAACUCCGUGCCAGCAGCCGCGGUAAUACGGAGGAUCCAAGCGUUAUCCGGAUUCAUUGGGUUUAAAGGGUCCGUAGGCGGAUUUUUAAGUCAGUGGUGAAAGCCGACAGCUCAACUGUCGAACUGCCAUUGAUACUGGAAAUCUUGAGUACAAAUGAAGUAGGCGGAAUGAGUCAUGUAGCGGUGAAAUGCAUAGAUAUGACUCAGAACACCGAUUGCGAAGGCAGCUUACUAACAUGUAACUGACGCUGAGGGACGAAAGCGUGGGGAGCGAACAGGAUUAGAUACCCUGGUAGUCCACGCC
rnacentral:rRNA from 1 species